UACGAAGGGGGCUAGCGUUGCUCGGAAUUACUGGGCGUAAAGGGCGCGUAGGCGGGUACUUAAGUCGGGGGUGAAAGCCCGGGGCUCAACCUCGGAAUUGCCUUCGAUACUGGGUAUCUUGAGUUCGGGAGAGGUGAGUGGAACUCCGAGUGUAGAGGUGAAAUUCGUAGAUAUUCGCAAGAACACCAGUGGCGAAGGCGGCUCACUGGCCCGGAACUGACGCUGAGGUGCGAAAGCGUGGGGAGCAAACAGG
rnacentral:rRNA from 1 species